AAUGGGGGAAACCCUGACGCAGCAACGCCGCGUGKRUGAUGAAGGCCUUCGGGUUGUAAARUCCUGUCAAGUGGGAAGAAACCCCCUCGGGUUAUUACCGCGGGGGCUUGACUGUUCCACUGRAGGAAGCCCCGGCUAACUCCGUGCCAGCAGCCGCGGUAAUACGGAGGGGGCAAGCGUUGUUCGGAAUUAUUGGGCGUAAAGGGCGCGUAGGCGGCCUUGUAAGUCGGUUGUGAAAUCCCCGGGCUUAACCCGGGAAUUGCAUUUGAAACUGCCGGGCUUGAGUUCGGGAGAGGGAAGUGGAAUUCCCGGUGUAGCGGUGAAAUGCGUARAUAUUGGGAGGAACACCAGUGGCGAAGGCGGCUCCCUGGACCGAUACUGACGCUGAGGCGCGAAAGCUUGGGGAGCAAACAGGAUUAGAUACCCUGGUAGUCCCCGCCGUAAACGAUGAGAACUAGGUGUAGCGGGUAUUGACCCCUGCUGUGCCGUAGCUAACGCAUUAAGUGCUCCGCCUGGG
rnacentral:rRNA from 1 species